UUAAGCGACUAAGCGUACACGGUGGAUGCCCUGGCAGUCAGAGGCGAUGAAGGACGUGCUAAUCUGCGAAAAGCGCCGGCGAGGUGAUAUGAACCUUUGACCCGGCGAUGUCCGAAUGGGGAAACCCAGUGUGAUUCGUCACACUAUCGUUAACUGAAUACAUAGGUUAACGAGGCGAACCGGGGGAACUGAAACAUCUAAGUACCCCGAGGAAAAGAAAUCAACCGAGAUUCCCCCAGUAGCGGCGAGCGAACGGGGAGCAGCCCAGAGUCUGAAUCAGCUUGUGUGUUAGUGGAAGCGUCUGGAAAGUCGCACGGUACAGGGUGACAGUCCCGUACACGAAAACGCACAGGUUGUGAACUCGAAGAGUAGGGCGGGACACGUGGUAUCCUGUCUGAAUAUGGGGGGACCAUCCUCCAAGGCUAAAUACUCCUGACUGACCGAUAGUGAACCAGUACCGUGAGGGAAAGGCGAAAAGAACCCCGGCGAGGGGAGUGAAAAAGAACCUGAAACCGUGUACGUACAAGCAGUGGGAGCACCUUCGGGUGUGACUGCGUACCUUUUGUAUAAUGGGUCAGCGACUUAUAUUCUGUAGCAAGGUUAACCGUAUAGGGGAGCCGAAGGGAAACCGAGUCUUAACUGGGCGUUAAGUUGCAGGGUAUAGACCCGAAACCCGGUGAUCUAGCCAUGGGCAGGUUGAAGGUUGGGUAACACUAACUGGAGGACCGAACCGACUAAUGUUGAAAAAUUAGCGGAUGACUUGUGGCUGGGGGUGAAAGGCCAAUCAAACCGGGAGAUAGCUGGUUCUCCCCGAAAGCUAUUUAGGUAGCGCCUCGUGAACUCAUCUUCGGGGGUAGAGCACUGUUUCGGCUAGGGGGCCAUCCCGGCUUACCAACCCGAUGCAAACUACGAAUACCGAAGAAUGUUAUCACGGGAGACACACGGCGGGUGCUAACGUCCGUCGUGAAGAGGGAAACAACCCAGACCGCCAGCUAAGGUCCCAAAGUCAUGGUUAAGUGGGAAACGAUGUGGGAAGGCACAGACAGCCAGGAUGUUGGCUUAGAAGCAGCCAUCAUUUAAAGAAAGCGUAAUAGCUCACUGGUCGAGUCGGCCUGCGCGGAAGAUGUAACGGGGCUAAACCAUGCACCGAAGCUGCGGCAGCGACACUAUGUGUUGUUGGGUAGGGGAGCGUUCUGUAAGCCGUUGAAGGUGUGCUGUGAGGCAUGCUGGAGGUAUCAGAAGUGCGAAUGCUGACAUAAGUAACGAUAAAGCGGGUGAAAAGCCCGCUCGCCGGAAGACCAAGGGUUCCUGUCCAACGUUAAUCGGGGCAGGGUGAGUCGACCCCUAAGGCGAGGCCGAAAGGCGUAGUCGAUGGGAAACAGGUUAAUAUUCCUGUACUUGGUGUUACUGCGAAGGGGGGACGGAGAAGGCUAUGUUAGCCGGGCGACGGUUGUCCCGGUUUAAGCAUGUAGGCGGAACGAUUAGGUAAAUCCGGUCGUUUAUUAACGCUGAGGUGUGAUGACGAGGCACUACGGUGCUGAAGUAACAAAUGCCCUGCUUCCAGGAAAAGCCUCUAAGCAUCAGGUAACAUCAAAUCGUACCCCAAACCGACACAGGUGGUCAGGUAGAGAAUACCAAGGCGCUUGAGAGAACUCGGGUGAAGGAACUAGGCAAAAUGGUGCCGUAACUUCGGGAGAAGGCACGCUGAUAUGUAGGUGAAGCCCCUGCGGGUGGAGCUGAAAUCAGUCGAAGAUACCAGCUGGCUGCAACUGUUUAUUAAAAACACAGCACUGUGCAAACACGAAAGUGGACGUAUACGGUGUGACGCCUGCCCGGUGCCGGAAGGUUAAUUGAUGGGGUUAGCGGCAACGCGAAGCUCUUGAUCGAAGCCCCGGUAAACGGCGGCCGUAACUAUAACGGUCCUAAGGUAGCGAAAUUCCUUGUCGGGUAAGUUCCGACCUGCACGAAUGGCGUAAUGAUGGCCAGGCUGUCUCCACCCGAGACUCAGUGAAAUUGAACUCGCUGUGAAGAUGCAGUGUACCCGCGGCAAGACGGAAAGACCCCGUGAACCUUUACUAUAGCUUGACACUGAACACUGGUCCUUGAUGUGUAGGAUAGGUGGGAGGCUUUGAAGUGUGGACGCCAGUCUGCAUGGAGCCGUCCUUGAAAUACCACCCUUUAAUGGCUGGUGUUCUAACGUAGACCCGUGAUCCGGGUUGCGGACAGUGUCUGGUGGGUAGUUUGACUGGGGCGGUCUCCUCCCAAAGAGUAACGGAGGAGCACGAAGGUUAGCUAAUCCUGGUCGGACAUCAGGAGGUUAGUGCAAUGGCAUAAGCUAGCUUGACUGCGAGAGUGACGGCUCGAGCAGGUGCGAAAGCAGGUCAUAGUGAUCCGGUGGUUCUGAAUGGAAGGGCCAUCGCUCAACGGAUAAAAGGUACUCCGGGGAUAACAGGCUGAUACCGCCCAAGAGUUCAUAUCGACGGCGGUGUUUGGCACCUCGAUGUCGGCUCAUCACAUCCUGGGGCUGAAGUAGGUCCCAAGGGUAUGGCUGUUCGCCAUUUAAAGUGGUACGCGAGCUGGGUUUAGAACGUCGUGAGACAGUUCGGUCCCUAUCUGCCGUGGGCGCUGGAGAAUUGAGGGGGGCUGCUCCUAGUACGAGAGGACCGGAGUGGACGCAUCACUGGUGUUCGGGUUGUCAUGCCAAUGGCACUGCCCGGUAGCUAAAUGCGGAAAAGAUAAGUGCUGAAAGCAUCUAAGCACGAAACUUGCCCCGAGAUGAGUUCUCCCUGAGACUUUAAGUCUCCUGAAGGAACGUUGAAGACGACGACGUUGAUAGGUCGGGUGUGUAAGCGCAGCGAUGCGUUGAGCUAACCGAUACUAAUGAACCGUGAGGCUUAACCUU
rnacentral:rRNA from 1 species